rnacentral:tRNA from 1 species
GGGAGCAGAUAGGUGUCUGGUGUGCCUCGCGGUCUUCAAAACCGUUGUGAGAAGUUCGAAGCUUCUUGGGUGGGUUCGAUUCCCACAUGUUCCCGCCA